rnacentral:lncRNA from 1 species
ACUUUUCUCUCUCAGACUUUGGAGUUCAAUGAAGCCUGAUAGAUCUUCGUUCGUAUCUGCAGUUUGUAGGAAUGCCACUGGUUCAACUGAGAGAAAUGUGGAAAAUGUCUGAUUAGCUCCAGUUUCUAGUGAUGAAUUGAUUACCAUCUAUUGAUUUACAAGUCAAACCUAAGAGACAGCCCACAAAGACAUCUUGUAUAUCAAAGGCUUCGAAGAGAUCUAAAGACACAAAAAUUUCUUUGACAUGUCAAAGGAGAAAUGAGCUCAAGUUCUUCAAACAAAUGCUGCAGGAAAGGAAGUCAUUUACUCUUCGGCUUUUGCUUAUUUCCAUUUGCUUUAAUUGUAGAGUAAAAUUUAUUUAGACCAAUUUCUUCCGUUCACUCAUGAAGAGUAAUGCUUGUAUAGGGUGAUAUUUAGAAAAUGUGGCAUACCAUAACACAUUGAUUCAAAAAUUACAAAACUUUUAUUGCAAGUACAUAUUAACCUG